UGCGUUAUGCCAGAAGACGAAUGGGUUGUCUUGAUGUGGCAAAGGUAGAGAGAUCUUAACGCAG
rnacentral:tRNA from 1 species